UCUUUUUAAUACAAUUCCGGUCUGAAGAUACAGAAACGCGCGGAAAAAAAGCGCGUUCGCGAGAUAUCGGUGGUAGGAGGCGCGAGAGGAGGAAACUGCGCCGCGGCGAGAAACUCGCACUUCGCGCGCACUUUCGGCGGAGAGAUUCGGCGCGUGUCCGGCGCGGACGCGCGAUGUGAGAAGCUAUUAGCCGCGCGGUUCCGUGCUAAUUGUUACGGCGCGCGUGGAACGUUCUCGUCGAUAAAGUUCUCUCUUCUUCCGGACGCGCGUGCUGAGAGUCCUCAAAAAGUGCUAUCGCGUAUCCUCUAAACGCGCGACACGCAAGCGCCCAGGAAAACAGAUAAGAGGAGAGGAAGAGGAGACUGCAGCCGGAGGGAGCGCGCGAUCUGCGCCGAGAAAAAUCGGCGACUCACGAUUUUAGGAUCACUCGGACGUCGCGAAGAUCUAACGAGAAAGAAAGAAAGAGAGACCAACCGCGACUGCGAGCUGGAGUUUCCCGUUAUCGAAUCACCACGAGGAGAAAAAAGGGCGAUUCGUCCGUCCAACGAGAUUUUGCGAGUCUCACGGUCUCUUAGUUUGCCAAUCUCACGAGUCGAAUAGCACGAUAAGGAGAAUAGAUGAUCAACAAGGCACUUGAAUAAACUUCUUCGUUCUUUCUGGCGACGAAAGAAACUGACUGAAAAUAGACGAGAGAAAGAUGGUGUAUCGAGGCAGUUUGCAGACGGACGAUCCUAGGGAUGCACCAAGAUUGGUCCGGGUGUCUCCCCUGCGCAGCAGCAGGUCCGUCAAUCCCAGUCCGAAUUCGAGGAUUGUCACGUCCGUCAAGAAUCCAAUUUACAACAAUUCGUUCGCGACGUCGAUCGACGCCAAUCGGGCGCGGCUAAUCGAGGAGAGGCGAUUAGGACGCGAGCGGGACAUCGAGUCAGUCGAGAAGGUAAUCAUGAGGACCACCGGCAUAAAGAUCGGUGCACCCAAGCUGCGCAACAUCAGUCAGAUUCGCGAGACCGUCUUCUUAGAUCAAUCGCUCACGCCAAUUGACAAGAUCGACAAGUCAGACUCGAGAAAUCGGCCACGCAGCUCUGCUGCGAGUAUCGAGGAUGGUAGCGCCAGGAUAUCAAGGACUCAUAGUUCUCUGCUGGCCGAUCUGAAGGAUUUAGAGAGGCUGAGGAACACUCCACCGACGCAACGGAAUCACAGAGAUCUUUCACAGAGAUCGGAAUUAAUGCUGGAAAUCUCGAGUAAAAGGAACGACGCGCCGACUUCGGCCAAAAUCCGAUCAGAUAUCUUCAAGAUCCAGCAAAUGUUCCAGUCGACAAAUUCUUCGCCCAGAGCAGUGACCAAGAACAGUAACGACAGGAGAUUCAAGAGCGAUUCGGAAAGAGAGGAGAAGAAGCCUGGCGCUGAGAUUAACAGGACUCGGUUACUCGCGCAGAAGCUUUUAGAGGCGUCUAGGAGUAAUCGAGAGUCGUUGAAGGAUCGAUACAACAAUCCGAAGAACGUGUCCAAUAGGAUGCCGAGCAGGAACGGAAAAGCGUUGAGUAAUAAGAUUCUUCAGGAAAUUCCGGAGAAAAAUCUGAAGGACAAGCAAAAGCAGAAAGCAAUCGCGACGAAUUUGGAGGAUCAGCCGCGUCCUCCCGCUCGCAGGAGAAGAAACUCGAAAAAUCGGGGCUGGAAGGACGCAGAUUAUUCCACAGAUGAGGGUAAUCUGCGCCGUGAGUCGGAGAACCGAAGUGCCCGUAAUCUCGAUCGCGGGGAGGACUCGUCGAAUGGAGGAGCGAGUGCGGAGGAGAAUUCUAAGGCCAGUUCUAAUCUAGAAAGACCGGAUAUUCUGGACGGGCUAUUGAGGGAAUCCGACCGGCAGCUGGCGGACCUGAAGAACGAUCUCGGCGAGAAGGAACGCUCGCGCAGUCACUGGCGAGGAUUCGUGCAAUCCAUGAGGCUACACGAUGUCGAGCUCCAUUCUGAUAGCGAAGAUCAGCGGAAGGACCUGAAUCUGUGGAACAAGAGUAUCAGUCAGCGCUGGCGGAAGCUGCGGCGAAGAUGCUCCGUGCAGGAGUCGUCGGAACCGCAGGAGGCGCUGAUACAGGGUGGCGGGAAUCGCGGUGUUAUACACGCGGUGAGAUCGACGCCAGCCAGCAGAGAAGCCUCGCCGGCCGCGAAGAGUCUUCAGGAUGGUAGCUCGCCGAAGAAACUGCUGCAAACUAGUUCCCUAAGGCUGCCAGGCACGACGAAGGGGAUCGCCGAUAUCCAGCACGUGCUCCGCAAUAAGUUUAGCAAGAUAAACGCCGGCAUCAGGAAGCGAAAAGCGCUCAGUGUGACGGAGGUGUUUCCGCAGCAGAAGGACAAUGCCUCGAAUUUCUACGUGCCGAGUCCCCUCACCUCGUCUUCCAGCCAGACCUUCGAGGACAAUCGUUAUGAUUCCAGCGAGCCUACGUCCUUACCACCGUAUCCUUUCCACGAUAACUUGGAGACCUUGGCGGAGAGCAGUGUCCCGAGCUCACCUCAUUGCAACGGCAAUAGCUUUGCCUACUCCCAGGACGGCUACGAGCAGAAAGACCUUUACGAGAACGUUAUGUUCUCGAGGUCUUCGCCGUCGUCCUGCUGUCCAAGGACUCGGCCCGUUCUCCAGCGCAGCAAUUCGGAGAACCGCGAGACCAGCGUGCACGAUCACUCUUAUGAGAACAUGCGCUUUCAACGAGCCGGCGCACAGCGAGACGAUCUGGCCUCGGGAAGCCCGUACGCGGGUCGACACUUGGCCAGGAGCAAUUCCGAGACCAGGGAGCACUCGUAUGAAAACGUGCACUUCCUGAAUGCGAAGAUCAGGAACCAGUCGGAGCCGUCGUUCGAGGAGAUACACAUACCCAGAGUGACGCCCAGAAAAAGGUCUACCGAUUUUAAGGUCGGCGGACAAGUGAAUAAUUAUUCAGGUGAGGCUACGUUGAGCUCCGGUAGUGGUAACAAGGAAGAAGCGCCGGUCAGUCUGGGUACGGAGAGAAGUUCUGGCAAGAGAAACCCGAGGAGGCUCAACAGUAGAAGCGUCGCGAAUAUUCCUAGCUCUUCGGGUGCGAACUUAAAGACUUGGCAAGGUACUCAAGACGCCGACGAAGGUCUGAACACGGACUCGGAGCUCGAGGACAUUGACGAAGCUGCCGAGGGAGAGGAGUCGCGUUUUUGUACCUUGCCAAGACCUAGUAAGAGCGGCGCAUCCUUUACGAUACUGACCGCCAGAUUUCUCAAGGGUCCCGGGCACAAGGGACUUGGCUUCAGUAUCGUCGGCGGUACCGACAGUCCUCGCGGAAAUAUGGGUAUCUAUGUGAAAACCGUAUUUCCUAAUGGCCAAGCCGCUGACUUAGGCACUGUCAAGGAAGGGGACGAAAUUUUAUCAAUAAAUUCGAAACCUCUUCAUGGUAUGACCCACGCCGAGGCGAUUGCCGAAUUUAAAUCCGUCAAAGCUGGAGACGUCGUCCUACACGUGGGACGUCGCGUGAACAGGAAAAAGAAAGAAACCUUGACUUUGGCACCGGUUAAUCCCUCCGUCCCGAGGCAACCUGUCACGUGAAUUCGAGAACAUAGCAACGAUUUUUUUAUUUGCUGAAGUUUCACGAAUUCAGUCUUUUACUCUUGAGAACAUUCAUAAACAUAGCAAUAUCGAUAAUUAUUGCUGGCAAUAAUACGUGAAAGGUCAAGGAUACCACUUGGGACGAGAUAAUAUGAGAUAUAAACUUUUGCAAGUUCUUCUAUCUAAAUUCCAUCUUUCAAACAUGACGUUACUGCAUUAUCUACAUUCUUCUAGAAAUAUAUGAACGUUAUGUUUUCUCGAUCGGUUAAACGGUCAGGUCAGGGUCGGUUGGUUAACAGUAUUUAGAAAUAUAAGUAUCGCAUGCCAACUUUGAUAUAACUCACUUAAAUAAUUUUGAAUAAAAUUUCUAUUAGACUAAAUCUUUUAGACUAAUAUUAAUUAUUAUAAAAGUUAAUAUUUACAAUUAAACGUUGCAAUAAUUGAAAUUUGGAAAGGUGUUAAGUACACGAGUAAAAUAUGUACAUAAAAAUAUAUUUAAAUAUCUUAAUUAG
rnacentral:misc_RNA from 1 species